GUGGGGAAUAUUGGACAAUGGGCGAAAGCCUGAUCCAGCCAUGCCGCGUGUGUGAAGAAGGUCUUCGGAUUGUAAAGCACUUUAAGUUGGGAGGAAGGGCAUUAACCUAAUACGUUAGUGUUUUGACGUUACCGACAGAAUAAGCACCGGCUAACUUCGUGCCAGCAGCCGCGGUAAUACGAAGGGUGCAAGCGUUAAUCGGAAUUACUGGGCGUAAAGCGCGCGUAGGUGGUUCGUUAAGUUGGAUGUGAAAGCCCCGGGCUCAACCUGGGAACGGCAUCCAAAACUGGCGAGCUAGAGUACGGUAGAGGGUGGUGGAAUUUCCUGUGUAGCGGUGAAAUGCGUAGAUAUAGGAAGGAACACCAGUGGCGAAGGCGACCACCUGGACUGAUACUGACACUGAGGUGCGAAAGCGUGGGGAGCAAACAGGAUUAGAUACCCCGGUAGUCC
rnacentral:rRNA from 1 species